AGAGUUGAUCCUGGCUUAGAUUGAACGCUGGCGGCAGGCCUAACACAUGCAAGUCGAACGGUAACAGGAAGAAGCUUGCUCUUUGCUGACGAGUGGCGGACGGGUGAGUAAUGUCUGGGAAACUGCCUGAUGAGGGGGAUAACUACUGGAAACGGUAGCUAAUACCGCAUAACGUCGCAAGACCAAAGAGGGGGACCUUCGGACCUCUUGCCAUCGGAUGUGCCCAGAUGGGAUUAGCUUGUUGGUGGGGUAACGGCUCACCAAGGCGACGAUCCCUAGCUGGUCUGAGAGGAUGACCAGCCACACUGGAACUGAGACACGGUCCAGACUCCUACGGGAGGCAGCAGUGGGGAAUAUUGCACAAUGGGCGCAAGCCUGAUGCAGCCAUGCCGCGUGUAUGAAGAAGGCCUUCGGGUUGUAAAGUACUUUCAGCGGGGAGGAAGGGAGUAAAGUUAAUACCUUUACUCAUUGACGUUACCCGCAGAAGAAGCACCGGCUAACUCCGUGCCAGCCGCCGC
rnacentral:rRNA from 1 species